AUUGAACGCUGGCGGCAGGCCUAACACAUGCAAGUCGAACGAGUGGCGGACGGGUGAGUAAUGUCUGGGAAACUGCCCGAAGGAGGGGGAUAACUACUGGAAACGGAAGCUAAUACCGCAUACAAUCGGAUGGGCACAGAUUGGAUUAGCUGUUAGGUGAGGUAAUGGCUCACCUAGGCGACGAUCCCUAGCUGGUCUGAGAGUAUGACCAGCCACACGGGAACUGAGACACGGUCCGGACUCCUACGGGAGGCAGCAGUGGGGAAUAUUGCACAAUGGGCGCAAGCCUUAUGCAGCCAUGCCGCGUGUAUGAAGAGGGCCUUCGGUUUUUAAAGUACGUUCUGCGGGGAGGCGUUACCCGCAGAGGAAGCACCGGCUAACUCCGUGCCAGCAGCCGCGGUAAUUC
rnacentral:rRNA from 1 species